GAUGAACGCUGGCGGCGUGCCUAAUACAUGCAAGUCGAGCGAACAGACGAUGCGCUUGCUCCUCUGACGUUAGCGGCGCGCGGGAGUGAAACACGUGGAUACCCUCCCUAUCAUACUGGGAUAACUUCGGGAAACCGGCGCUAAUCCCGGAUAAUAUAUUGAACCGCAUUGUUCAUUGGUGAAAGUCGGUUUUGCUGUCACUUCUAGAUGGAUCCGCGCCGCAUUAGCUAGUUGGUAAGGUAACGGCUUACCAAGGCAACGAUGCGUAGCCGACCUGAGAGGGUGAUCGGCCACACUGGAACUGAGACACGGUCCAUACGCCUAAGGGAGGCAGCAGUAGGGAAUGUGACGCAAUGGGCGAAAGCCUGACGGAGCAACGCCGAGUGAGUGAUGAAGGUCUUCGGAUCGGAAAACUCUGUUAUGAGGUAAGAACAAAUGUGUAAGUAACUAUGGACGUCUUGACGGUACCUAAUCAGAAAGCCACGGCUAACUACGUG
rnacentral:rRNA from 1 species